GAAGAGGAAUACACAGAUUUUUUGCUGACGGACUUGGCCCCAGCUUUGCAGGCUAACUGAAACUCCCAAGGCCUUGAGAUUUUUGAAAACUGCCAUAUUUCCUCUAGUUGAAGACUCAUUUUAUAUUUUUUCACAUGUUAACAUUUAUGAAAUUGGGAUGUGUAAUGUAUGCCCUGUCAAAAAAAUUUCCAGCAGCUGUGCAGAGGAGUGACAUGCCAACGUGGCCUGCCUCGCCUGCGGCCACACCACCUUCGCCAGCUUCGUGGAAGUAUCUGUUCAUCCAUUGUGUCACUCUGUUUUGUUAUUUUCAUUGGUAGGCACAGCACACUGUUAACUUAGAUUCAUGUUCCUAAUUGCCACUGAAAGCGUCUCUCACAAGAUAACUCUGCUUUACUGUAUUGGAGCAAAAGUCAUCAUCAUGCGUGCAAAAGAUUGCCUGGCAUAUGCCAGGCAUUAAGCAUUGCCCCACUGCACAGAGUAAAUGGUACAAUUUUCAAAGCAAGGGGAAAUUGGCAUGACUACUUCAUGCAUCAUUAAAAAAAAAAAAAAAAACUAUUAUUCAAGCUCCAAAAUCUUUAAAAGCUUCUAGUGAUUUUCAAAAGAAGUUACUUAAUGUUUAUCUUUAAAAUAAGGAAAAACAGAAUUAUAAGUUUAGCCAAAGAGGAAAUGCCAAUAAACCACUAGGAUUCUCUAUGAUACCCUAAAAUUACAUUGUCAAUCUUAAGCGUGCUGAAGAGGCCAAGCUCAUAAGCAUGGCUGGAAAGUGGCGUUCUCCAUCCCGCUGUGAGUAACUGUGGGUGUCCGAAAUCAUGUGGAAGAAUAUUUAGUCUCUGAUAAUGAAACAGGCCAGAGUUAAACUUUGGUAAUGAAAGCAGCAUGUAAUGGCAUGGAUAAGUGAAUUCCAAAGUCAUUUAAGAAGACACACAGUAAGAUGUGCGCCUCUCUCUCUGUCUCCCUUUCUCUAUCUCUUCCUUUCUUUUCCCCCUUUUUCCUUUCUUUCUUUUUUUUCUUGGGGGGGGGGAGGACAGAGUUUCACUCUUGUUGCCCAAGCUGGAGUUUGAUGGCACCACCUUGGCUCACCACAACCUCUGCCUACUGAGUUCAAGCGAUUCUUCUGCCUCAGCCUCCCGAGUAGCUGGGAUUACAGGCAUAUGCCACCACACCCAGCUAAUUUUGUAUUUUUAGUAGAGAUGGGGUUUCUCCAUGUUGCUCAGGCUGGUCUCGAACUCUCGACCUCAGGUGAUCCGCCUGACUCAGCCUCCCAAAGUGCUGGGAUUACAGGCGUGAGCCACCGCGCCUGACCUCUCCCUUCUUUGUUUCUAAUCUCUCUUCCUUCCUUCUUUUCUUUCCUUCUCCCACUGAAAUGCUGCUAUUAAAUUGAUAGAGUAUCUUAUAACUGAUGGCAUCUUAGAACUGGGGAAAUAGAGUGUUUGUCAGGCUGCUUGAUUUAGCAACUGAGGGUUGAAGGGAUGGGGGUAAUUUCAAAUCAGUGAGAUUACUGGAUUUCUUUUUAAAAGGUGCUGAUGAGAUAGAAUCACCAUAACAGAGUCAGGCACAGAUGAAAAGAUCAGCAAAGGCCAGGUUCCCUCGACUUAUUUUGAAUGGAUGGAGAAACGGUGAAUCUUGGGUUUAUGAGCAUGACCAGUGGGUCAUAUGGGCAGAAAAGCAAGUGGCAGUCUCAAAAGAAGAGGGCAUUUAGAAUCCGAGGUUCAAGCUGGAAGAGAUCUUGGUCACCUCCUUGCUGAAUGCCUUAAUUCAACAAAUGAGGAAAAUGGGCUCAUACGGCAGGAAUAAUCUAUAGAACUAGGACAGGAUCCUAGGUGUCCAGCCCCUAUUCUAUGGAUUUUCAUCUGGAGAAGUCAGUCAUGUACCUGUCUCAGGGCCUUUGCACCUCUUUUCUCUUUGCUCAGAUCAUUCUUCCCCUAAAUAGCCACAUGGCUUUCUUCCUCAUCUCCUUCAAGUUUUUGCUUAAAUUUCAAUUUCUCAGUGAGGUCUUCUCUGACCAUUUAGACCAGAAUAUGCCAUCUUAAAAUAUGACUAUAGAAGACCAGAAUAUGCCACCCCAAAAUAUGCUUCUUGGGCAUAAGGAUUAUUUUGAGCUGAUUAUUUUGAGAAACUGCAGACACAGGAGUUCUAAUCUGAAAACAGAUCCCUGUGCAGGGGAAAUCUACAUCUAUAAAGGAAAUCUCCGCUUGUAAGAGUAUCUCCCUCUCAGUAUCAGGGCAAGAAGGAUGUGUGGAAGUCACUGGAAUCUCUAGUCAAUGAAGCAGGUGCUGACUUGAUUCUGCAUAACAAACCUUACCCUUGUCUACCAUGAGUUUCCUGGUGACCUCCCCACAGCACUCUGACCAGUAAUGCAGGAGAGCUGAGGUCUCGGCAUCCUCCUUCACACCUGAUUGAGCAGUCAUUAUAUAUCUCCUAUCUAUCAGGCACUACAAGAGUUCCUGGAGGAUACUGGUCUGAAGUUAGCAUGACCUUGACCCAAGAAACUUAUAGUCCUGAUAAGAACUUCCAUCAGAACUCCAGAUAAGGUAGCACAGGCCUUGCUGUUUGCCCAGGCCCAUGGGGUCAGUCCUCUUGGGUACCGUGGCAUGCAGAUGAGGGUGCUCACCCAAGACACCCUGUAGUGCUGAUUACUGGCUGAAGGCACUGAAUAUCUGAUAUAGUUUGGACAAAUCUCAUGUUGAAAGUAGAUCCCCAGUGUUGGAGGUGGGGCCUGGUGGGAGGUAUUUGGAUUGUGGGGUCAGAUCCUUUAUGGCCAUUUGGUCCCAUCCUCGUGGUAAUGAGCAAGUUCUUGAUCUACUAGUUCCUGAGAGAUCUGGUUGCUAAAAAGAGUCUAGCAGCAUCCUCCACUCCCUCUCCUCCUCUCUUACCAUGUGAUAUGCAUACACCGGCUACCCUUUACCUACUGCUCCAGCGCCACGCUUCAUGUACAGCCUGUAGAACUCUGAGCCAAAUAAACCUCUUUUCUUUAUAGAUUAUUGACUUUCAGAUAUUCCUUUAUAGUGACAGGAAUAGACCAAGACAAAAUCUAUGUAUCAUCUAUCUAUCUGUCUCCCUACUCCCACUUCUGUGAUGGGAGACUUAUCGCCUGGUCCUGCCCUCGACCCAAGCUUCUGUGACCAUCUCCCACUCAAAUCUGCCCCAACAGUAACCUCAAGUGGGCUUGAGUCCUUGUCACCCCA